rnacentral:lncRNA from 1 species
GUUUGCUAAGCAGCAUCUCCGGAACAGCCCCCGUGCUAUAUGUUGUUUCUUGUGCUGGAUCUCCCAGGUGGAUCCCGGACAGGAUGCUGCAGGUGGUGCAGGAAGGCAAUCUUGCCCCAUUCGUCAUCAACACAGUGAAAAGGGGUCGAAGAGACCGAGAGCGCCAGAGGACGCCACGGGCUCCACAUCCGCUUGGACUCCGGGAAGUAAGCCUCUAGACUUCAGGAAUGAGCAAGUCCAACCGUUUGGUUUGAGCCUAUUGCUUCCAAGAAAAGCGUGGAAAAAUCCUGAGACCUCCUCCCCUCGCCCUUCGUCCAUUUCAGGGGACCGAGUGUCUCCACGGAACUUCACCAGGGAGGCAAAGAGUGCACUCAUUAUUAUUUGUCUUGUCUUCGUUUCAGAGGCUAUACAUCUGCGAAAGCCCUAAUCACAGAGGGAACGACUGCUCGUUCCUGGCCCAGAAAUGAGAUGAGAAAUCCAAGGCCCCGUACAGGAAGG